GACAAACGCUGGCGGCGUGCUUAACACAUGCAAGUCGAACGAAGAGCGAUGGAAGCUUGCUUCUAUCAAUCUUAGUGGCGAACGGGUGAGUAACGCGUAAUCAACCUGCCCUUCAGAGGGGGACAACAGUUGGAAACGACUGCUAAUACCGCAUACGAUCUAAUCUCGGCAUCGAGGAUAGAUGAAAGGUGGCCUCUACAUGUAAGCUAUCACUGAAGGAGGGGAUUGCGUCUGAUUAGCUAGUUGGAGGGGUAACGGCCCACCAAGGCGAUGAUCAGUAGCCGGUCUGAGAGGAUGAACGGCCACAUUGGGACUGAGACACGGCCCAGACUCCUACGGGAGGCAGCAGUGGGGAAUCUUCCGCAAUGGACGAAAGUCUGACGGAGCAACGCCGCGUGAGUGAUGACGGCCUUCGGGUUGUAAAGCUCUGUUAAUCGGGACGAAAGGCCUUCUUGCGAAUAGUGAGAAGGAUUGACGGUACCGGAAUAGAAAGCCACGGCUAACUACGUG
rnacentral:rRNA from 1 species